AGGGUUAUAGUUAAUAAUAACAUUUAACUUGCAUUUAAAAAGUAUUGAUUUAAUCAAUUAACCUUA
rnacentral:tRNA from 1 species